AGAAAAGUGAUGAGGUUAUAAUAUCUGAAUAUGGUGUGGAUUCCUUAUUUCAAAGGGUCUUAAAAGUUCUCUGAUUGCU
rnacentral:snoRNA from 2 species